rnacentral:tRNA from 1 species
ACCUGGGUGGCUCAGUCGGUAGAGCGUCGGACUUCCGCUCAGGUCAUGAUCUCACAGUCUGUGAGUUCAAGCCCCACAUCAGGCU